AGCCCCACAUCCCCAAGCUCGACGGGCUUGGCAGCCGACAACGGGCAAACCCACCACACGUCUCACAAUCCCCAAGCCCCUAUCUUCUCCUCCCCCCUCACGGCUACACUGAUGCGGUCUCCUUUUGUAGGAAGUACGUACAUGCAUCCUUGUGAGGAAGAUUGAUCGGGAUGGAGAAAUCAGGCGACGCGGAACCACACCAAGCUCCAAUACUAUCGCCUCGUGUGUUGCCUGCUCCACCUCCUUACGGAUAUGCUGCUUCUUAUCAUGUCCCAGCCGCUGGUGUCCACACUGUCCCUUGACUCUAUCUAAAGCGAGGCAGACCUUGGCUACAAGCCUCGGUCCAGCGCACGAGUGUUCGUCCUGAUUCUUCUAACUGACGAAGCUUUUGUCGAUCUUACUAUUUUCAGGUGCGACCAAUCCAAGUGUUCAUCCAUUCUGGUCUAUUUCUUUGGAUAAUUUAUGGAGGCCGUGGUUCUGGUAUUUGUAUGUAUUCGCAAAUUGUUCACAAGGCCUGGUUAGUAUCUUGGACUGCAAAAGCACAUCUCUUAGUUCUUUAAUAUGCAAUUACUUAGAUUUUAUUGUCCUAAAUGUAUGUAUCCUUAAUGCCAUGGUUUGUUACUUAUGGUUGUUGUCAAAGGAGGAAAUAAUAGGGAGGAUUGGAGAUGCACUGGGCAUGCCAUGGCAACGAAACAAAAGCUUAUUACUUCAAUUCAAUUAUGCAAGCUGAAG
rnacentral:lncRNA from 1 species